AGUCGACGAAACUUCUUUAUCACCGAGUGCUUGCACUCACCGAUAAAGAGUUGAGUGGCGAACGGGUGAGUAACACGUGGGCAACCUGCCCAAAAGAGGGGGAUAACACUUGGAAACAGGUGCUAAUACCGCAUAACCAUAGUUACCGCAUGGUAACUAUGUAAAAGGUGGCUAUGCUACCGCUUUUGGAUGGGCCCGCGACGCAUUAGCUAGUUGGUGGGGUAAAGGCUUACCAAGGCAAUGAUGCGUAGCCGAACUGAGAGGUUGAUCGGCCACAUUGGGACUGAGACACGGCCCAAACUCCUACGGGAGGCAGCAGUAGGGAAUCUUCCACAAUGGGCGAAAGCCUGAUGGAGCAACGCCGCGUGGGUGAAGAAGGUCUUCGGAUCGUAAAACCCUGUUGUUAGAGAAGAAAGUGCGUGAGAGUAACUGUUCACGUUUCGACGGUAUCUAACCAGAAAGCCACGGCUAACUACGUGCCAGCAGCCGCGGUAAUACGUAGGUGGCAAGCGUUAUCCGGAUUUAUUGGGCGUAAAGAGAACGCAGGCGGUCUUUUAAGUCUGAUGUGAAACCCUUCGGCUUAACCGGAGUAGUGCAUUGGAAACUGGGAGACUUGAGUGCAGAAGAGGAGAGUGGAACUCCAUGUGUAGCGGUGAAAUGCGUAGAUAUAUGGAAGAACACCAGUGGCGAAAGCGGCUCUCUGGUCUGU
rnacentral:rRNA from 1 species